rnacentral:snRNA from 1 species
AGUCAGCUAGCUUGCGACCAUUCAUCAAUUCUCG